CGGAGCCCUGGACCUCUACGUUCCUGGGGCCUUGCUGUACUCUUCGGUUGGUGGGGCUUCCCCAUCGGUAUGUCUGGCGUAUUAGAUGGAAGAAUUUGAGCCCAGCAGACUCCAGCAGCCAGCAGCGAGCACAUUACUACGCUUUGUAUUGGCCCCUUGUCCAGCAAUAAGUGCGUAUAAUGCGUGGGCCACCUGCAAGCUGCGUGUACAUGUAUAUGUACAUGUGUUCCCGCCAACAUCCGUGCUAGCUGCCACUAUCGGUACGGGUCGGAACGGAAACACUUGUUCGAUAACAAUUGUUAUAUCACGACAUCAGAAAAGUACCGAUCGGUGGAUGCAGAUCCCGUGACAUGCCCGGGGUACAACACAAGCCCUCUUGAGGACAACACCGGCACACCACCGAGUGUGCACAAGCGCAAAGUGGCCAUGGGAGAGCGGCCCAUUGGCAACAGCACAUUUAUACAAGCUCUUGCUUGUCAGAUUGCGCUACACGGAUGGGCAGCUUUUUUCUGCCUACCAGAUGAUCAUUUGCCGUGGAUAAUGCAGAGCAGGUUGAGUGUAGGCACAAGCUUGUGAUAUGCCAGCUGAGCUGCUUUCUCUGCUUUGUGCUGCGGACGUCACCCAGCUGUGCACCCAGCUGGAUUAGGAUUGGGUCCCCAGCCAAAAUUAAGUUUACUGAACCAGUCACACGAUUACGAUUGCAAUAUCAGCUCCCCGAUACAGAUUACGGCCCUGACCACAGGAAUAGGAUUUGGCGCCCAACUGUCGGGCGGGAUUAGGAUUGGGAUACUGCAGCGGGAUGAGGAUUACAACCCCCCGCCCCUAGGAUAUGGAUAAGACCACCACUCUGGAUUAGGAAUUAGGAGUGCUAGUGGUCCACUCCUGUUGAGAUUAGAGGAUGGCUGACUGGUAUCCACCCGCUGGAUUAGAGGAUUAGGACCCCUUUGCAAACCUCUGGUCUGUGUUUCCGUGUCAUAUCUGUUCCCACAUCCACAUCACACAGGCUUUCUUAACAACAUCCAACACAACUGUGUUUGGGGUCAUUUGGGUCAUUUUCAGUGCUAAGCUAUUACUAGUCCAUAAAGUAAUGAACUACUUGAGAAGCAGUCUGAGCAAGCUUUCACCAACUUUGACUCUACCUGAGCCGGAUCCAGUGAACCAUCACUCCUGGAGUUCUG
rnacentral:lncRNA from 1 species